GACGAACGCUGGCGGCGUGCCUAAUACAUGCAAGUCGAGCGCAGGAAACCGUCUGAACCCUUCGGGGGGACGACGGCGGAAUGAGCGGCGGACGGGUGAGUAACACGUAAAGAACCUGCCCACGGGUCUGGGAUAACCACGAGAAAUCGGGGCUAAUACCGGACGGGUCAUCGGACCGCAUGGUCCGAGGGUGAAAGGCGCCCCGGCGUCGCCCGUGGAUGGCUUUGCGGUGCAUUAGCUAGUUGGUGGGGUAAUGGCCCACCAAGGCGACGAUGCAUAGCCGACCUGAGAGGGUGAUCGGCCACACUGGGACUGAGACACGGCCCAGACUCCUACGGGAGGCAGCAGUAGGGAAUCUUCCACAUGGACGAAAGUCUGAUGGAGCAACGCCGCGUGAACGAUGAAGGCCCUCGGGUCGUAAAGUUCUGUUGUAAGGGAAGAAUAAGUGCCGCAGGCAAUGGCGGCACCUUGACGGUACCUUGCGAGAAAGCCACGGCUAACUACGUGCCAGCAGCCGCCGUAA
rnacentral:rRNA from 1 species